GAUGAACGCUGGCGGCGUGCUUAACACAUGCAAGUCGAACGAAGCAAUUUAUUUGAUUUCCUUCGGGACUGAUUAUUUUGUGACUGAGUGGCGGACGGGUGAGUAACGCGUGGGUAACCUGCCUUGUACAGGGGGCUAACAGUUGGAAACGGCUGCUAAUACCGCAUAAGCGCCCAGCAUCGCAUGAUGCAGUGUGAAAAACUACGGUGGUAUAAGAUGGACCCGCGUUGGUUUAGCUAGUUGGUGAGUUAACGGCCCACCAAGGCGACGAUCCAUAGCCGAGAUGAGAGGGUGACCGGACACAUUGGGACUGAGACACAGCCCAAACUCCUACGGGAGGCAGCAGUGGGGAAUAUUGCACAAUGGGCGAAAGCCUGAUGCAGCGACGCCGCGUGAGCGAAGAAGUAUUGCGGUAUGUAAAGCUCUAUCAACAGGGAAGAUAAUGACGGUACCUGACGAAGAAGCACCGGCUAAAUACGUG
rnacentral:rRNA from 1 species